rnacentral:rRNA from 1 species
UGGGGAAUAUUGGACAAUGGGCGCAAGCCUGAUCCAGCAAUACCGCGUGUGUGAAGAAGGCCUGAGGGUUGUAAAGCACUUUCAAUUGGGAGGAAAACAGGCAGGUUAAUAUCCUGUCUCUUGACAUUACCUUUAGAAGAAGCACCGGCUAACUCCGUGCCAGCAGCCGCGGUAAUACGGAGGGUGCAAGCGUUAAUCGGAAUUACUGGGCGUAAAGCGUUCGUAGGCGGCUGUUUAAGUUAGAUGUGAAAGCCCCGGGCUUAACCUGGGAACUGCAUUUAAAACUGAACAGCUAGAGUUUAGGAGAGGGAAGUGGAAUUUCAGGUGUAGCAGUGAAAUGCGUAGAGAUCUGAAGGAACACCAGUGGCGAAGGCGACUUCCUGGACUAAAACUGACGCUGAGGAACGAAAGCGUGGGUAGCAAACG